rnacentral:rRNA from 1 species
GUGCAGCAGGCGAGAAUUUUUCUCAAUGGGGGAAACCCUGAAGGAGCGACGCCGCGUGGAGGAUGAAGGUCUUCGGAUUGUAAACUCCUGUCAUUUGGGAACAAUUGUCACCGAUUAACUGUCGGGGGCUUGAUAGUACCAGAAGAGGAAGAGACGGCUAAUUCUGUGCCAGCAGCCGCGGUAAUACAGAGGUCUCAAGCGUUGUUCGGAUUCAUUGGGCGUAAAGGGUGCGUAGGUGGCGGGGUUAGUCUGGUGUGAAAUCUCGGAGCUCAACUCCGAAACUGCACUGGAUACUGCCUUGCUUGAGUACUGGAGAGGAGAUUGGAAUUUACGGUGUAGCAGUGAAAUGCGUAGAUAUCGUAAGGAAGACCAGUGGCGAAGGCGAAUCUCUGGACAGUUACUGACACUGAGGCACGAAGGCCAGGGGAGCAAACGGGAUUAGAUACCCCCGUAGU